GACGAACGCUGGCGGCGUGCUUAACACAUGCAAGUCGAACGGAAAGGCCGCAUUCGGGGGGUACUCGAGUGGCGAACGGGUGGGUAACAGGGGAGUAACCUGCCCUUGACUUUGGGAUGACUUCAGGAAACUGGGGCCAAUAGCGGAUAGGAGCUCCUGCCGCAUGGUGGGGGUUGGAAAGUUUCGGCGGUUGGGGAUGGGCUGGCGGCUUAUCAGCUUGUUGUUGGGGUAGUGGCUUACCACGGCUUUGACGGGUAGCCGGCCUGUGAGAGUGACCGGCGGCACUGGGACUGACAGGCGGCCCAGACUCCUACGGGAGGCAGCAGUGGGGAAUAUUGCACAAUGGGUGGAGGCCUGAUGCAGCAGCGCCGUGUGCUGUAUGACGGCCUUCUUGUUGUAAACCGCUUUCGCUCAUGACGAAGCUUUGUGUGACGGUAGUGAGUAAAGAAGCACCGGCUAACUACGUG
rnacentral:rRNA from 1 species